GGGAUUACCUCAGUAACGGCGAGUGAAGCGGUAACAGCUCAAAUUUGAAAGCUGGCUCUUUUAGGGUCCGCGUUGUAAUUUGUAGAAGAUGCUUCGGGUGUGGCCCCGGUCUAAGUUCCUUGGAACAGGACGUCAUAGAGGGUGAGAAUCCCGUAUGUGACUGGGUGCCUUCGCUCAUGUGAAGCUCUUUCGACGAGUCGAGUUGUUUGGGAAUGCAGCUCAAAAUGGGUGGUAAAUUUCAUCUAAAGCUAAAUAUUGGCCAGAGACCGAUAGCGCACAAGUAGAGUGAUCGAAAGAUGAAAAGCACUUUGGAAAGAGAGUUAAACAGUACGUGAAAUUGUUGAAAGGGAAGCGCUUGCAACCAGACUUGCGCGCUGAUGAUCAUCCGGGCUUCUGCCCGGUGCACUCGUCUGCGCUCAGGCCAGCAUCGGUUUCGGUGGUGGGAUAAAGGCCUUGGGAAUGUAGCUCCUCUCGGGGAGUGUUAUAGCCCUCGGUGCAAUGCCGCCUACCGGGACCGAGGACCGCGCUUCGGCUAGGAUGCUGGCGUAAUGGUUGUAAGCGACCCGUCUUGAAACACGGACCAAGGAGUCUAACAUCUAUGCGAGUGUUUGGGUGUCAAACCCAUACGCGUAAUGAAAGUGAACGGAGGUGAGAACCCUUAAGGGUGCAUCAUCGACCGGUCCUGAUGUCUUCGGAUGGAUCUGAGUAAGAGCAUAGCUGUUGGGACCCGAAAGAUGGUGAACUAUGCGUGAAUAGGGUGAAGCCAGAGAAACUCUGGUGGAGCUCGCAGCGGUUCUGACGUGCAAAUCGAUCGUCAA
rnacentral:rRNA from 1 species